UACGUAGGGGGCAAGCGUUGUCCGGAUUUAUUGGGCGUAAAGAGCGUGUAGGCGGCCUUACAGGUCAGCUGUGAAAACUCGAGGCUCAACCUCGAGACGUCGGUUGAAACCGUAAGGCUAGAGUCCGGAAGAGGAGAGUGGAAUUCCCGGUGUAGCGGUGAAAUGCGCAGAUAUCGGGAAGAACACCCGUGGCGAAAGCGGCGCGCUGGACCACUACUGACGCUGAGGAACGAAAGCUAGGGGAGCAAACAGG
rnacentral:rRNA from 1 species